rnacentral:lncRNA from 1 species
GAAGAACAUCUCUCGCCAAGGACUGUUGGGGAAAGGAAGCAAGUGGGAGCCAAGCGACAGGUCACUGGUGAGUCAAGCGGGCAACCUUCAUGGAGAGCAUCGAGGCCCACUCUACAAAAGAUUGGCACUCCUAAGGCAAACUGUUCACACAUGUGGUGUAAUCACCACUUCUAAUAACGAGUUCAAUAUUCGACCUGUAAUGUCCAACUAUAAAACAUGUUCUUUACGGCCUGAUUACAGUCAGUGUUGCACGCACCAACGUGACUGUAGAAGUGCUUCUCUGUGAACAGCUGUACCCGAGCUGGGGUGCCACAGCAAGCGCGAGGAGAACUAGGCCCUAGAAUGUGGUUUCGGCGCCACGCAACAGGCCUCACCUUUUUUUUUUAUGUAGUGGCCGUGGUAUAGAUAUGAAGGAUUGAAAUAUGGUUGCAAUAAAAAUUCACAGAUGCA